rfam:Otolemur garnettii contig085381, whole genome shotgun sequence.
UUGUUUAAGCCAAAAAAAAAAAUAAAAUAAAAUUGGAAUGAUACAGAGAAGAUUAGCAUGGCCCCUGUGUAAGGAUGACACACAAAUUCUUGAAGCGUUCCAUAUUUUU